UCUUCAUAUUGAAGAACAACCUAUGUUACAAAAAUGAAAUCCUAAAGAGAAGGGUUUGUUUAAAGUAUAUAAAUGAAAUUUGAUGUUAAAGUUUUAAUAUCUUCAUUU
rnacentral:misc_RNA from 1 species